AUGCUUCAUAUGCCAUUUCCCCGUCAAGCCAAGGCGAGCUAUGAGUCGGCGAACCGGGGCACGUCGUCUAGGUUCUUCAUCCAGCCAUCGAAUCAAGGAACCAAGUUAUCCGAAAAAGAAAGAAUCAAAGAACCAAGUGCAUCACAUCCAUCAGAUGGUCAAUCGUUCAUGCAUCGUUCAUGGUGGGUCGGCUGUGAAGUAGUUUCGGCGCUCGAACCCCAGCAGCAGCUACUUGGCUGGCCGAGGGCCAGAGGCGAGGCGUCGGUCAUCUACUGCUCCUCCUCCCGCUUCCGCCUCUACGCGGGUGAGGCCAUCUCGCCGGCCGGCGGCGGCGUGGCGUCCGGCAAGCGCGCGAGCAAGCGGGACGUGGGCGGCGAUGUGCUGUGCGUGCGUCUCCCUGGUGUGUGUGCUAUGUGUGUGUGUGCUAUGUGUGUGAUGCUGAGGGUGGGAGAUGAGUGA
rnacentral:rRNA from 1 species